rnacentral:rRNA from 1 species
GAUGAACGCUGGCGGCGUGCCUAAUACAUGCAAGUCGAGCGAAUGGAUUAAGAGCUUGCUCUUAUGAAGUUAGCGGCGGACGGGUGAGUAACACGUGGGUAACCUGCCCAUAAGACUGGGAUAACUCCGGGAAACCGGGGCUAAUACCGGAUAACAUUUUGAACCGCAUGGUUCGAAAUUGAAAGGCGGCUUCGGCUGUCACUUAUGGAUGGACCCGCGUCGCAUUAGCUAGUUGGUGAGGUAACGGCUCACCAAGGCAACGCUGCGUAGCCGACCUGAGAGGGUGAUCGGCCACACUGGGACUGAGACACGGCCCAGACUCCUACGUGAGGCAGCAGUAGGGAAUCUUCCGCAAUGGACGAAAGUCUGACGGAGCAACGCCGCGUGAGUGAUGAAGGCUUUCGGGUCGUAAAACUCUGUUGUUAGGGAAGAACAAGUGCUAGUUGAAUAAGCUGGCACCUUGACGGUACCUAACCAGAAAGCCACGGCUAACUACGUGCCAGCCGCCGCGGUAA